CCACCACCCUCAAAAAAGAAGGAUGUCAAAUUAGUUUAAAAUUCAUCAAGACAAAUUGCAAGGCUGGUGUACACAUGUGCAUGAAGGUAAGGGGAGGAUGCACACAUCAGCUUACUGCAAGUAUGAAGAGUUUGUUAAUGAGAGCAAUGACACCUAUAAAUCAGAGUAUAAGUAGAGAGCCCACUAAGGUACUGAUGUUACCAAGGUGCAUUUCCAGAGUUUAACAAAGCAUGAGGAUUCCAACACCUUACCUGGUGGACUGGGGAGGAGGCGAAAGUAUCUUACAGAAAAUGAGGAAAGGCUUGUGAGAGCAGACCUGAACUCCAUUCUACGUCUGACCACUCAGCCCAACAUGAUGGCAGCAGCAACAAUAAUUACUGAGAAACUGCCAAAAGUUUGAGCAGAGAAAGGCAGUAGGCAAAGGAGCUGUAGACUGAAAAA
rnacentral:lncRNA from 1 species